rnacentral:rRNA from 1 species
AUUGAACGCUGGCGGCAGGCUUAACACAUGCAAGUCGAGCGGAGAUGAGGUGCUUGCACCUUAUCUUAGCGGCGGACGGGUGAGUAAUGCUUAGGAAUCUGCCUAUUAGUGGGGGACAACAUUCCGAAAGGAAUGCUAAUACCGCAUACGUCCUACGGAAGAAAGCAGGGGAUCUUCGGACCUUGCGCUAAUAGAUGAGCCUAAGUCGGAUUAGCUAGUUGGUGGGGUAAAGGCCUACCAAGGCGACGAGCUGGAGCGGGUCUGAGAGGAUGAUCCGCCACACGGGGACUGAGACACGGCCCAGACUCCUACGGGAGGCAGCAGUGGGGAAUAUUGGACAAUGGGGGGAACCCUGAUCCAGCCAUGCCGCGUGUGUGAAGAAGGCCUUAUGGUUGUAAAGCACUUUAAGCGAGGAGGAGGCUACUGAGACUAAUACUCUUGGAUAGUGGACGUUACUCGCAGAAUUAGCACCGGCUAACUCUGUGCCAGCCGCCGCGGUAACAC